UACGGAGGGUGCAAGCGUUGCUCGGAAUCACUGGGCGUAAAGCGUACGCAGGCUGUUCGCUAAGUCGGGUGUGAAAGCCCAGGGCUCAACCCUGGAAUGGCGCCCGAAACUGGCGAGCUUGAAUGCGGGAGAGGGAAGCGGAAUUCCUGGUGUAGAGGUGAAAUUCGUAGAUAUCAGGAGGAACACCGGUGGCGAAAGCGGCUUCCUGGCCCGACAUUGACGCUCAUGUACGAAAGCGUGGGUAGCAAACAGG
rnacentral:rRNA from 1 species